AACGCUAGCUACAGGCUUAACACAUGCAAGUCGAGGGGCAGCGGGAUUGAAGCUUGCUUCAAUUGCCGGCGACCGGCGCACGGGUGAGUAACGCGUAUCCAACCUUCCGUACACUCAGGGAUAGCCUUUCGAAAGAAAGAUUAAUACCUGAUGGUAUGAUGAGAUUGCAUGAUAGCAUCAUUAAAGAUUUAUCGGUGUACGAUGGGGAUGCGUUCCAUUAGGUAGUAGGCGGGGUAACGGCCCACCUAGCCAACGAUGGAUAGGGGUUCUGAGAGGAAGGUCCCCCACAUUGGAACUGAGACACGGUCCAAACUCCUACGGGAGGCAGCAGUGAGGAAUAUUGGUCAAUGGCCGAGAGUCUGAACCAGCCAAGUAGCGUGAAGGAUGAAGGUCCUACGGAUUGUAAACUUCUUUUAUAAGGGAAUAAACCCUCCCACGUGUGGGAGCUUGUAUGUACCUUAUGAAUAAGCAUCGGCUAACUCCGUGCCAGCAGCCGCGGUAAUACGGAGGAUGCGAGCGUUAUCCGGAUUUAUUGGGUUUAAAGGGAGCGCAGACGGGUCGUUAAGUCAGCUGUGAAAGUUUGGGGCUCAACCUUAAAAUUGCAGUUGAUACUGGCGUCCUUGAGUGCGGUUGAGGUGUGCGGAAUUCGUGGUGUAGCGGUGAAAUGCUUAGAUAUCACGAAGAACUCCGAUUG
rnacentral:rRNA from 1 species